AUUGAACGCUGGCGGCAUGCCUUACACAUGCAAGUCGAACGGUAACGCGGGGCAACCUGGCGACGAGUGGCGAACGGGUGAGUAAUACAUCGGAACGUGCCCAGUAGUGGGGGAUAGCCCGGCGAAAGCCGGAUUAAUACCGCAUACGACCUACGGGUGAAAGCAGGGGAUCGCAAGACCUUGCGCUAUUGGAGCGGCCGAUGUCAGAUUAGGUUGUUGGUGGGGUAAAAGCCUACCAAGCCGACGAUCUGUAGCUGGUCUGAGAGGACGACCAGCCACACUGGGACUGAGACACGGCCCAGACUCCUACGGGAGGCAGCAGUGGGGAAUUUUGGACAAUGGGCGCAAGCCUGAUCCAGCCAUACCGCGUGCGGGAAGAAGGCCU
rnacentral:rRNA from 1 species